rnacentral:rRNA from 1 species
UACGUAGGGUGCGAGCGUUGUCCGGAAUUACUGGGCGUAAAGCGCGCGUAGGCGGCUUUGUAAGUUAGAGGUGAAAGCCCGGAGCUCAACUCCGGAACUGCCUUUAAAACUGCAUCGCUUGAAUCCAGGAGAGGUGAGUGGAAUUCCGAGUGUAGAGGUGGAAUUCGUAGAUAUUCGGAAGAACACCAGUGGCGAAGGCGGCUCACUGGACUGGUAUUGACGCUGAGGUGCGAAAGCGUGGGGAGCAAACAGG